GAGAAAAGAACCAACACGGAUUGCCUCAGUAACGGCGAGUGAAGCGGCAAUAGCUCAAAUUUGAAAUCCCCCGGGAAUUGUAAUUUGAAGGUGGCCUCAGUUAGUCCAAACAUUCUUAAGUCCAUUGGAAAAGGGCGCCCUGGAGGGUGAUAGCCCUGUAAAGACGUCGUUUGUUCUAUUUUCUCUGGCCACCAAUGAGUCGAGUUGUUUGGGAAUGCAGCUCUAAAUGGGUGGUAAAUUCCAUCUAAAGCUAAAUAUUGGCGAGAGACCUGAUAGCGAACAAGUACAGUGAGGGAAAGAUGAAAAGCACUUUGGAAAGAGAGUGAAAAAGUACGUGAAAUUGUUAAAAGGGAAACGAUUGAAGUCAGUCGUGUGGGAAGUAUUCAGCCGUCUCUGGCGGUGUAUUUGCUUCUCACGGGUCAACAUCAGUUUGAUCCGGUAGAAAAAGGCGGGAAGAAGGUGGCACCCUCGGGUGUGUUAUAGCUUCCUGUCAUAUGUGCCGGACCACACUGAGGAACGCAGCUAGCAGCAAUGCCAGGGUUCGCCCACGUACUAGCUUAUGAUGUUGACAUAAUGGCUUUAAACGACCCGUCU
rnacentral:rRNA from 1 species